GCACCACCAAUAAUAGAUCGCAAUCGGUCAUCAGCUGGUUAUUGAUUGCACAAUUCAUAUGAAACGGACGAUUUAUUCAAAAUUAUUUAAAAACUUUACAAAAAGCAUAUGAAAAGCAAGCAGAUUCCCUGAAGGCGAACGGCUUACAGGACCUAUUUUGCAUAGAUAAAGCAACUGUUCCGCACGCCCACUCACACGCACACACACGCACGCACACACCCACACACACACGCACGCACACACACAUACAGAAUCGCAUUCAAAUUUAGUCAAAUGAUUUUGUACUCAAGCGUCGCAACGGACACUCAACAGAGCCAUAAAAUCAAGUUGAGCUGGAAAGGCAAAUCGCAGCAAGUCGAAGCAGCAAAUACCCUACAAUCGAGGUAUCAUGGACACUGGAGACGCAUAGAGAACUUUCAAGACCCGCUGCCUUUUCCAUUCGCUCAACCGUUCGCCCAGCAUGGAAUGCCUGCCUUCAACUGUAUAUCUAACGGGCUAUGCCCACUCAACCUCAGAGUAUUUACAGGCUGUAAUAAGAGCGUAGCCCGAAACGUUUCGAUGUACCAAAGCAAGGAGGGGACGACUGAUUCGACCGAAGGACUUUAUUUCUCUACAUACAUAUAUUUCUAUAAGUGUGUGUGUAUAUUGCCGGCCUUUGUGUUUCAGACGGAAAUCGUUGAUGGGCAGAGAGAGAGAGAGAGUGAGACAGACAAACAGGCAGAGAGCGAGAGCGAACUAUAGAGGGAGAGUGAGGACGAAGUUGUUUGCCCUGGUGUUGAGAAGUUUGCGUUUACUUUUUUGUCAUGCGGCAAGCGCGGCAUGUGGCAUGAGGCGACCGGCAUGCGGCAUGUGGCAUGAGGCAUGAGGCAAGUAUGUGUAGGUGGCCGUGGGGGCGUGCAAGGGGCGAGGCAAGUGACAUUGAUGAAACGGGCCGUAGAACAUUAGCCAAAUACUGCAGAAAUUUUGCACUAGACUCUGUUUACAUGGGGGUGAC